rnacentral:rRNA from 1 species
UAAAGCCAAAGAUCCUCCUGGCUGUAGCACGCACUCCGAGGACACGAAGCCCCACCACGAAGGUAGCUUUACCAAUAUUUUCCUGACCCCACGAAAGCUAAGAAACAAACUGGGAUUAGAUACCCCACUAUGCUUAGCCUUAAACCUAGAUGUUACAUUUACAACCAACAUCCGCCAGGGUACUACAAGCGCUAGCUUAAAACCCAAAGGACUUGACGGUGUCUCAGACCCACCUAGAGGAGCCUGUUCUAGAACCGAUAAUCCCCGUUAAACCUCACCACCCCUUGUUUUUUCCGCCUAUAUACCGCCGUCGCAAGCUUACCCUGUGAAGGGCCCAUAGUAAGCAAGAUGGGUAAAUCCCAAAACGUCAGGUCGAGGUGUAGCUUACGAGGUGGGAAGAAAUGGGCUACAUUUUCUAUAUCAGAAUAAUACGAACAGCAUUAUGAAAUUAGUGCUCGAAGGUGGAUUUAGUAGUAAAAAACAAAUAGAGAGUCUUUUUGAACCAGGCUCUGAGACGCGCACACACCGCCCGUCACUC